AGUGAACGCUGGCGGUAGGCCUAGCACAUGCAAGUCGAACGGUAGCACAGUAAGAGCUUGCUCUUACGGGUGGCGAGUGGCGGACGGGUGAGGAAUACAUCGGAAUCUACUUUUUCGUGGGGGAUAACGUAGGGAAACUUACGCUAAUACCGCAUACGACCUACGGGUGAAAGCAGGGGAUCUUCGGACCUUGCGCGAUUGAAUGAGCCGAUGUCGGAUUAGCUAGUUGGCGGGGUAAAGGCCCACCAAGGCGACGAUCCGUAGCUGGUCUGAGAGGAUGAUCAGCCACACUGGAACUGAGACACGGUCCAGACUCCUACGGGAGGCAGCAGUGGGGAAUAUUGGACAAUGGGCGCAAGCCUGAUCCAGCCAUACCGCGUGGGUGAAGAAGGCCUUCGGGUUGUAAAGCCCUUUUGUUGGGAAAGAAAAGCAGCAGGUUAAUACCCCGCUGUUCUGACGGUACCCAAAGAAUAAGCACCGGCUAACUUCGUG
rnacentral:rRNA from 1 species